rnacentral:rRNA from 1 species
AUUGAACGCUGGCGGCAGGCCUAACACAUGCCAGUCGAGCGAGCGGCGGACGGGAGGGUAAUGUAUGGGGACUGCCCGAUAGAGGGGGAUAACUACUGGAAACGGAGGCUAAUACCGCAUACUAUCGGAUAGUCGAUAUGGGAUUAGCUAGUUGGUGGGGUAAAGGCUCACAUAGGCGACGAUCUCUAGCUGGUCUGAGAGGAUGAUCAGCCACACUGGGACUGAGACACGGGCCAGACUCCUACGGAGGCAGCAGUGGGGAAUAUUGCACAAUGGGCGCAAGCCUGAUGCAGCCAUGCCGCGUGUAUGAAGAAGGCCUUAGGGUUGUAAAGUACUUUCAGCGGGGAGGCGUUACCCGCAGAAGAAGCACCGGCUAACUCCGUGCCAGCAGCCGCGGUAAUUC